GAAGAGUGAGUUGGUUGAAUUCUCAUUCUGUUAUUUCAGUUUGAGUUAGUUAUGGAGAGUUUUUAGUGUUGUGAAUGGUUUUGUGGGAUGUCUUUUUGCAGGAAGUUUUGAUGAAGAUUGAAAACGAAUAGAAUUUCUUCUUUUUCAGGAUGUGCGUUCGGUUUUCUUUUUUGUCCGUCUUAGGAGGUUAUGAAUUCUGUUAGCGUUUUGAAUCAGUUAGCGAAAUUCUGUUAUGGUC
rnacentral:lncRNA from 1 species